CCAACUCAUCUUCAAAAUUUUACACCCCAAAACUUAUUUUCCAUCCCUUAUCUAAAAUAACCCUAACUGUGCCCCUCCUUACCAUUCAACAUCUUCUCUCUAGUAGCAGUUUCAUCGGCUACUCUGUGUGGCGAAAAGUUCUCUUAUACAUGUACGAGGGUUGAGAAAUUGAGGUCUGGUCUCAGCAUUCGUAAGGUUUUUAUUGGGGAUUAGAUGCCUCUUUACGGUAUUGCUGGAGUUUUCUACAGAUCUUAGAAGAAACAAUAAAUGGUGGAUCAUCCACACCAACAAUGGCUGGUGCUGUCAAGAAUAGAAAAUAUUGACUCCGGGAAGUCGAAGGUGACAUUCAACAGGUAGUUCGAGGCAAAUGCGACACUCACAUUUUAUUUUGUAAAGCAAACUAGCUGUAGAAAACUAAAAUUCAUACAAAUCAGUCAUAGACAACUGUAGCAUACGCAAGUCAGAAAAGGCUAUUUAUUUCAUUCCAUUCAUUUAUCAUGGUAUGAUGGAAUCUCGUUAAACGAGUAUCUUUACGGAUGUUCUCUUUUUAACUGCAAUACCUACAUAGUUAGUUAAUUAUCAUUUAUUACUUAUGAAUAAAAGAAAGAUUAAGCAUUUGAGGUGUGUUGAAGCAACACUAUUGAAAAAAUUAUUUGCACCUUUUUAUAAAUAUUAUACAUCUCAUACUUCUGCUAAUCGAUAUCAGGCAUAUAAGUUUGUUGUGAAUAUCCUAAUUUCAUUCUUAAUUCAUCUACACGUGAAGUUACUUAAACUAGUUCUGAUGGAUUGGAGGUAGCUUUGCAUGCUUUGAGAUCUAAAUGUUUAUUAUGGUCAAUUGGUAGUUAUACAAGCCAAUGAUCACAUUGCUAGGUUACGAAACUUGGUAGUUCUACAAGCCCAUGUAUUCUUCUAAUUGCUAGGUUACGAAACUUGUUCCUGCUUUGACUUAGGGGGUCAAAGAUGCAUUAGUAAAGCACAUUAGAAGAAUAGUGAUUCCACAACUUCUAAAGGUCUGAGCAGAUAUUAAGGUGAAAUGCUUUCAGUUUGAUGGAGUUCUUCACAUUAAGGAGGCAAUGCAGAAGGCGAAAGUUUUUGGGAAUUAGGGUUUUCCUUAAUCUGCUUGUUGCAAAUCCGAGAAGGUGUGAGCCUGAAGAAGUUUGGUGGUCACGGUGCUCGUGCUAGGCUUCAGAAAUCCAAUCCUACAGCUGAAAAAGCAAAGCUUGGCGACUCUUUGAGUUACAGGUACGCGUUCAUUCUUUACUGUUAACUGAAUUUGAAUCAUCAUUAAGAUGUGAAACAACUCAAGUGAUACAGCUGAACCUAUUGAUUCCAUACCUAGUACUUCUUGAACACAAAUGAUACGGGUUUUGUUUCUUGUCCAUUAUUUGAAUCAUCAUUAAGAUGUGAAACAACUCAAGUGAUACAGCUGAACCUGUUGAUUGAAUACCUAGUACUUCUUGAACACAAAUGAUACGGGUUUUGUUUCUUGUCCAUUACCAAAAACAUUCAGUUUGUCAAACUUUAUAUGACCUUGUUGUAUCAAUCUAGUUCACAGAACAAGUUAAAAGAAGACUGUAUUUUUUAUUACAGUGUAACCCAUUUGAAUUGAAAAUUUAAUACUACCUUUUUUAG